ensembl:misc_RNA Metazoa_SRP Metazoan signal recognition particle RNA
GCUGGGCAUAGUUGUGUGUGCCUGUAGUCCCAGCUAGUCAGGAGGCUGAGAUGGGAGGAUUGCUUGAGCCCAGGAGUUUGAGGGUACAGUGAGCUAUGAUGGUACCACUGCACUCCGGCCUGGGCAACAGAGCAAGACCCUGUCUUUA